rnacentral:rRNA from 1 species
AUUGAACGCUGGCGGCAUGCCUUACACAUGCAAGUCGAACGGCAGCAUGGAGAGCUUGCUCUCUGAUGGCGAGUGGCGAACGGGUGAGUAAUGCAUCGGAACGUACCGUGUAAUGGGGGAUAACGUAGCGAAAGUUACGCUAAUACCGCAUAAGACCUGAGGGGGUAAGAAGGGGAGCGCAAGACCUUGCGUUAUACGAGCGGCCGAUGUCCGAUUAGCUAGUUGGUGAGGGAAAGGCUCACCAACGCGACGAUCUGUAGCGGUUCUGAGAGGAUGAUCCGCCACACGGGUACUGAGACACUGACCAGAAUCCUACGGGAGGCAGCAGUGGGGAAUUCUGGACCAUGGGAGCAACCCUGAUCCAGCCCUGCCGCGUGCGUGAGGAAGGCCUUCGGGUUGUAAAGCCCUUUCGGCCGGGAAGAAAUCGCACAGGCUAAUACCCUGUGUGGCUGACGGUACCGGCAUAAGAAGCACCGGCUAACUACGUGCCAGCCGCCGCCGUAA